rnacentral:rRNA from 1 species
AGAGUUUGAUCCUGGCUCAGCGCGAACGCUGGCGGCGUGCCUAACACAUGCAAGUCGUGCGGAGGGGUGAUGAGCCCCUCAGCGGCAAACGGGUGAGUAACACGUGAGUAACCUGCCCCUGGGAAGGGGAUAACCCUCCGAAAGGGGGGCUAAUACCCUAUAUAGCCGGGGACCACUAAGGUCACCCGGUGAAAGGUAGCCUCUGCCCUUUAUGGGUAUGCUACCGCCCAGGGAGGGGUUCGCGGCCCAUCAGGUAGUUGGUGGGGUAACGGCCUACCAAGCCUAUGACGGGUAGCCGGCCUGAGAGGGUGGCCGGCCACAGUGGGACUGAGACACGGCCCACACCCCUACGGGGGGCAGCAGUGGGGAAUCGUGGGCAAUGGGCGCAAGCCUGACCCCGCGACGCCGCGUGGGGGAUGAAGCCCUUCGGGGUGUAAACCCCUGUCGGGGGGGACGAUGUGUCCUGGGGUGAAUAAUCCCAGGGCAUGACGGUACCCCAGGAGAAAGCCACGGCUAACUGCGUGCCAGCAGCCGCGGUAAUACGCAGGUGGCGAGCGUUGCCCGGAAUUACUGGGCGUAAAGGGUGCGUAGGCGGCCGGACAAGUCGUAGGUUAAAGCCCGGGGCUCAACCCCGGAAAGGCCUACGAUACUGUCUGGCUUGAGGGCUGGAGAGGCUGGCGGAAUUCCCGGUGUAGGGGUGAAAUCCGUAGAUAUCGGGAGGAACACCGGAGGGGAAGCCGGCCAGCUGGACAGUCCCUGACGCUGAGGCACGAAAGCGUGGGGAGCAAACCGGAUUAGAUACCCGGGUAGUCCACGCUGUAAACGAUGGGUGCUAGGUCUGGGGAGGUAAUCUCUCCGGGCCGAAGCUAACGCGUUAAGCACCCCGCCUGGGGAGUACGGCCGCAAGGCUGAAACUCAAAGGAAUUGACGGGGGCCCGCACAAGCGGUGGAGCACGUGGUUUAAUUCGAUGCAGAGCGAAGAACCUUACCCGGGCUUGACAUGCCAGGGUUGUACCCCGGUGGAAACACUGGGGGAGCGUGGGGUUUUCUCACGCGCUCUGGCACAGGUGCUGCAUGGCUGUCGUCAGCUCGUGUCGUGAGAUGUUGGGUUAAGUCCCGCAACGAGCGCAACCCCUGCCCUUAGUUGCUACCGGGUAAAGACGGGCACUCUAAGGGGACUGCCGGGGAUAACCCGGAGGAAGGAGGGGAUGACGUCAAGUCCGCAUGGCCCUU